AUUGAACGCUGGCGGCAGGCCUAACACAUGCAAGUCGAACGGUAGCACAGAGAGCUUGCUCUCGGGUGACGAGUGGCGGACGGGUGAGUAAUGUCUGGGAAACUGCCCGAUGGAGGGGGAUAACUACUGGAAACGGUAGCUAAUACCGCAUAACGUCGCAAGACCAAAGUGGGGGACCUUCGGGCCUCACACCAUCGGAUGUGCCCAGAUGGGGUUAGCUAGUAGGUGGGGUAAUGGCUCACCUAGGCGACGAUCCCUAGCUGGUCUGAGAGGAUGACCGGCCAAACGGGAACUGGGACACGGUCCAGACUCCUAAGGGAGGCAGCAGUGGGGAAUAUUGCACAAUGGGCGCAAGCCUGAUGCAGCCAUGCCGCGGGUAUGAAGAAGGCCUUCGGGUUGUAAAGUACUUUCAGCGGGGAGGAAGGCGGUGGAGUUAAUAACUUCACCGAUUGACGUUACCCGCAGAAGAAGCACCGGCUAACUCCGUGCCAGCCGCCGCCGUAA
rnacentral:rRNA from 1 species